ACGGCUUGAAUCGUCGAAACUUUGUUUUGACGCCGCGGUGUCGGUACCGCGACUGUGGUUACACGAACGUGGCCUUAAAAUGAAGUGUCCUUCGCAGUUUUAAUAUUCGAUCAUUUUUAUCAACCAUCCACAACAAAUAAUAAGAAAUGCCAACCCCAUAGGGACAACAUCAUCAAAAUUUAAAUAAUGGAUUCAUUUUACCGAUUGAGCAGAAAUAGAAAGAAAAUACAUCCACGUCCGUUAACAUGAUUGUGAAAUUUGGUUUCGAAAAGAAGACGGGAACUUAUGGACUGGUGCAGGUGCCGUCCUGUUCGUAAAGAUCCUGGGGUGACCCUCGGCUUCGGCCUUGGGAAAAACGUGCGCUCUGGGAUCGAUCGUUAGGAAUUAAUCUUCUGCUGUGUAGCGUACUGAGGCUCUGCGGAGCUGUACGGCGGUGCAUGUCGGAGGAGGCACGGUUGAGAUGCGGUUGCUAACGAUCGAUCCUUCUGCUGCCGAAUUACCCAAAAACAAAAAUCAAAAACCAAUACUAUCAAACCAAACCAAGGAAACCUAUUGAGAAAAGCAAAAAUACAAAAUCUCUUAAACUAAAGUAAUAACAAAUACUCAAAACUCCACCCGUGACCUUGUGUUGCGGGCUCUAGGUUUUCCUUUGGUGCAAUGGUUUUGUUUAGUUCAGGAUUUUUACUGCAGGAGUACCAUGACCAGUCCAGAGGUUUGGAAAACUAUUCAUCAAAUUACCGAUAACAAAUAAUCACGUCUCCAUUUAAUUCUGAAAUAGGGAAAUGGUCGAAUGAUAAGACGGAAGACUUCCACUUUUGCACUUUUUGUCUUAAAUUUUCAAAUGUUAUGUACGUUAAAUCGAAAUUUGUAAUUCAAAUCACUGAUAAUAAAGAUUUGGUUGUAAUUUGGUAACGUUUUCAAUCGAUAAAUAAUAAAAGAACAAACUGUAUGACGAAAUAAUUACUUCAAGAAAAUGUCUAAUGUUAAGGAAAACUAAAUGUGGUAGGUAUAAAACAUUUGGACGAAGGUUUCCUUUAUUCGAGUUAAGUCCUGUCAGGUUAUCAAGAUUGAAUUAUGUAGGUACUCUCGAAAGGAUAAAAAAAAUCAAUGAAGCUCUCCUGGUGUGAUCACGAAACGAGCAUAAAUGACAAAAGAUUUAGAUCAUUUUUGGUUCAAAAGAUGUGCAUAUAUUCGAUAAAACUAAAAAAAUCUGGCACCGAGAAAUGAUUUAAGAUGAUAUUGAAUUUCCCAUGGUUAUAUCAGUACUAUUACUAACUACUGUUAAAUGGAAAAUUUAGUAACUAAGUGGAUACUUUCGACGUAACAAUGCGAAUGAUGAGGAUAUCGUGGAUAGAGAAUGUAAGAAU
rnacentral:lncRNA from 1 species